GUCCUCUUGUCUCAGUGGGUAGAGAACGAGGCUCUUAAUCUCAGGGUUGUGGGUUCGAGCCCCAUGUUGGGCA